rnacentral:rRNA from 1 species
AUUGAACGCUGGCGGAAUGCUUUACACAUGCAAGUCGAACGGCAGCACGGGUGCUUGCACCUGGUGGCGAGUGGCGAACGGGUGAGUAAUACAUCGGAACGUACCCAGUUAUGGGGGAUAACUAACCGAAAGGUUAGCUAAUACCGCAUACGCCCUGAGGGGGAAAGCGGGGGACCGUAAGGCCUCGCGUAAUUGGAGCGGCCGAUGUCUGAUUAGCUAGUUGGUGAGGUAAAGGCUCACCAAGGCGACGAUCAGUAGCAGGUCUGAGAGGAUGACCUGCCACCCUGGAACUGAGACACGGUCCAGACUCCUACGGGAGGCAGCAGUGGGGAAUUUUGGACAAUGGGCGAAAGCCUGAUCCAGCCAUUCCGCGCGAGUGAAGAAGGCCUUCGGGUUGUAAAGCUCUUUCGGCAGGGAAGAAACGCUCUGGGAUAAUACUCCGGGGUAAUGACGGUACCUGAAGAAGAAGCACCGGCUAACUACGUGCCAGCCGCCGCAGUAA